AACGCGAAGAACCUUACCCAGGCUCGAAAUGUAAUAGACAACACCAGAGAUGGUGUGUUCCGCAAGGACUGUUAUAUAGGUGCUGCAUGGCUGUCGUCAGCUCGUGCCGUGAGGUGUUUGGUUAAGUCCAGCAACGAGCGCAACCCUUAUCAUUAGUUGCCAACGCGUCAAGGCGGGGACUCUAGUGAGACUGCCCGGGUUAACCGGGAGGAAGGUGAGGAUGACGUCAAGUCCGCAUGGCCUUUAUGUCUGGGGCUACACACGUGCUACAAUGGUCGGUACAGAAGGCAGCAAGACCGCAAGGUGGAGCAAAUCCGUAAAGCCGAUCACAGUUCAGAUUGUAGUCUGCAACUCGACUACAUGAAGUUGGAAUUGCUAGUAAUGACGUGUCAGCAACAACGUCGUGAAUACGUUCCCGGGCCUUGUA
rnacentral:rRNA from 1 species